GCUAUUUUAGUUUAUUUAAAAUUUCUAACUUGUAAUUAGAGGAAUCUUUAGCA
rnacentral:tRNA from 1 species